AUACGGAGGGUGCAAGCGUUACUCGGAAUCACUGGGCGUAAAGGACGCGUAGGCGGGUUGGCAAGUCAGAUGUGAAAUCCUACAGCUUAACUGUAGAACUGCAUUUGAAACUGCUAACCUAGAGUAUGGGAGGGGGAGAUGGAAUUAGUGGUGUAGGGGUAAAAUCCGUAGAUAUCACUAGGAAUACCGAAAGCGAAGGCGAUCUCCUGGAACAUAGCUGACGCUAAGGCGUGAAAGCGUGGGGAGCAAACAGGAUUAGAAACCCUAGUAGUCC
rnacentral:rRNA from 1 species